GCUCUUCAGCUGGGAAGCAAAUACUUCAGAGAGAACUCCUUUAGCUCUUCUGUCCUGCCUCUAGCCACCAGCAUGUCACUUCUAUGCACUUGGCUCACUCCACCCAGUCCUGUGACUCAUGACUCAACUGGUCCUGUGGACCCCCAAUCAAGAGAUGGACUCAGCUCAUGUGGACCAUUUUCCAUACCCCUAUGACUGCCUCCGCAACCAACGAGCAACACCCAUCACCUAGUCACCUGCCCACCAUACUAUCCUUGAAAAUCUCUAAUCUUCAAGCCUUCAGGGAGACUGAUUUGAGUAAUAACUCUAUCUUCUGUGUGUCUGGCCUCGUGUUAAUUAAACUCUUUCUUUAC
rnacentral:lncRNA from 1 species